GCCCGAUUAGCUCAGUGGUAGAGCGCGUCACUCGUAAUGAUGAGGUCGGUUGUUCAAUCCAGCCAUCGGGCA
rnacentral:tRNA from 1 species